AUCUGCGAUUCGUUGGCUGUAAUUCGAGGCGAACACGCCGAAAAUUAUGCUUGGAAUGACGCUCUGCUCAAGAAUAACCCCGUCGAUCGAUGUCCUUCUCCUCGUGCCAUUGAGCAGCCCUCGACCGAACCCGAUACACUCCUGCAUCAUUCGACGGCCGAUCCCGCGACCUUGGUACCGUGGAUCGGUUCCAAGAUAGAACACCUCCAUCGCUCCGUUCGUAUCGUACCUCUCAAAAAUAUCCACAUUGUCGAUCUGGCCAAACGAGAGCAAUCUCAGAUCACUGGGUUGAUUUCUUUGAAAAUUCAGUGUAAUACAGUUUUUUUUUUUUUUAAGUUUUUAAGAAUCGUAGCGUAUGACACCAGAGGUCUCUGAUUAAAGUCUGUGAUACAACAAUUACUGGAUAAAUUGGAGAUUCUCCUCUAUGAAGGAGUCCAGCUCGUCCUUCUCGCCCUUCCUCGGUUUCGCCUUGCAAAGAUACAAAAAUUGAUGAAGAAGAAUAAAGGAGCGACUUGUUUGCACAAAGAUACAACAAUAUUUAAGAGAGGAGAAAACGAUCUUCCCGCCUGCAGAUACUGUGACAGAGUGAAGCUAGUUUCGAGCGACCUACGCUCUAUUAAAGCUUUUGUUGAGUACAACUCUACUGUCUCUUGAUAAGCAGCCUUCAUUUUUCAACAUACAAUAAUUCAUGCAUACUGAGAAAAACGUUUCUAUUAUCUCUGCACAUUGUUAUGAGUAGAAGUUAUGAAUAGAAAACGCAGUUAUCCGUCACUUUAAAUUUCCUUGAAUAUUGUCAAGAAAGUAUUAACAAUUGCAUUGAAUAUUUGAAUAUAUUUGACAAAAAAGGAAAAGAUUCAUUAACUUUACACAGAAUUUUCUGUGUAAUAAUAAUACUUCAAUAAUACUAUUGUUUUUAUUUGUCAAUAAUAUUUUAUGUAUUUGCUGGCUUUUCUCUGACUACAAUCAUUGAUAGAUAGUUACUUCUUAUCACGUGUUUACAUAUUAAUUCAUUCAGUCAACCAAGAUGCAAUUUCGAUGCUCAUCUCCUAUUUUUUCGCUAAAAACUUUCUUAUUGAAAUGGAACUCGUCAUAGCUGAUUGAAAACAAAUUUUCAAAUCCAUACUUCGUCAUUAUCUUCUGCGAAUAAUUGGACGUCGUGAUUGCUGAUAUCACUUUAGGAUUUCCCUUUAUUAACUCCUCUGCUAUCUUUAUCGAUGAAGCUACCAGCAACUCUCCUAUCCUACACUUUUGAUGAGAAGGCAAAGUGGCCAAAAACAUGAUUUCAAAUAUACAAUCGGUGUCGUAGUGGUUGAACAAAUCUAUCCUGCUGUCUAUAUUUAUCAUGAAAUCUAUCAACGCUUUCGAGGAUUUGCACUUGCAAUUAUCCCUGCUUAUCUCGAAGCUGCUUUUCUCUGAUGAAUUUUUGAGAAGCUGGAAAACGAGAAAAGCAACAACACUAACCCCAUCUUUCGCCGCAUCCACACAGAGUUCCUCAAGUUCUUUGCUUGCACCGGAUUCUGAGAGCAAGUCUACAGCUUUGCAUACAUUCUCGUAGACAAAAAAACUUUUCCUUAUGACAUUAAGAGCACC